rnacentral:rRNA from 1 species
UUACCUGGACUUGACAUCCCUGGAACUGGUAGAGAUACUGGGUGCCCUGCUUGCAGGAACCAGGAGACAGGUGCUGCAUGGCUGUCGUCAGCUCGUGCCGUGAGAUGUUGGGUUAAGUCCCGCAACGAGCGCAACCCUCGUCGUACUGUUGCCAGCAUUCAGUUGGGGACUCGAUACGAGACUGCCGGGGUCAACUCGGAGGAAGGUGGGGAUGACGUCAAGUCAUCAUGCCCCUUAUGCCUAGGGCUGCACGCAUGCUACAAUGGCUGGUACAAAGGGCUGCAAUACCGUGAGGUGGAGCGAAUCCCAAAAAGCCAGUCUCAGUUCGGAUUGGGGUCUGCAACUCGACCCCAUGAAGUCGGAGUCGCUAGUAAUCGCAGAUCAGCAACGCUGCGGUGAAUACGUUCCCGGGCCUU